rnacentral:rRNA from 1 species
CGGAUCGGAGUCUGNAACCCGACUCCGUGAAGCUGGAUUCGCUAGUAAUCGCGCAUCAGCCAUGGCGCGGUGAAUACGUUCCCGGGCCUUGUACACACCGCCCGUCAAGCCAUGGAAGCCGGGGGCGCUUGAAGUGCGUUGCCGCAAGGCGCGCCCUAGAGCGAAACCGGUGACUGGGCUAAGUCGUAACAAGGUAGC